rnacentral:rRNA from 1 species
GGCCGCGGGAAUUCGAUUGAGUUUGAUCCUGGCUCAGGAUGAACGCUGGCGGCGUGCCUAACACAUGCAAGUCGAACGGGGUAUAUAAGCGGAAGUUUACGGAUGGAAGGUUAUAUACUUAGUGGCGGACGGGUGAGUAACGCGUGGGCAACCUGCCCCGUGCCGGGGGAUACCGCCUGGAAACAGGCGCUAAUACCGCAUAAGCGCAUACAGCCGCAUGGGUGUAUGCGGAAAGCUCCGGCGGCACGGGAUGGGCCCGCGCCCGAUUAGCCAGUUGGCGGGGUAACGGCCCACCAAAGCGACGAUCGGUAGCCGGCCUGAGAGGGCGGACGGCCACAUUGGGACUGAGACACGGCCCAAACUCCUACGGGAGGCAGCAGUGGGGAAUAUUGCACAAUGGGGGGAAACCCCGAUGCAGCAACGCCCGCGUGGGUGAAGGAGCGUUUCGGCGCGUAAAGCCCUGUCAGCGGGGAAGAAAAAAGAACGGUACCACCAAGAAACCCCGGCUACUACGUGGCCGCAACCCCCGGUAACCUUAGGGGGCCAACGGUACCCCGAAUUCCCGGGUGUUAAAGGGACCGUAAACGGGCAAGGUAACCCCGAAUUGGAAACCCCGCGGCCCACCCCCGAACCUGGCUUGGGAACGGUUUUGGUGGGGAUUGGGGAGGGGGUAAAGCAAAAUUCCGGGGUGAGCCGGUGAAUGGCGGUUAAAAUACAAGAGGAGAAACCCCGGGUGGGAAAGGCGGCCUUAAUUGGAACCCAAACCUAAACUUUUGAGGCCUCAAAAACGUGGGGGGAGACACAAAAGAAAAAAA